UGCGUAGGUGGUUUGUUAAGUUUCAAAGUAAAAGUUAAGCGUAGAGCUUAAACGCUUUUUAAUACUAACUGACUAGAGUUUAUUAGAAGAUGGCUGAACAUUAAGUGUAAAGGUGAAAUUUUUCGAUAUUUAAAGGGCAUGCACUAGGCGAAGGCUGCUAUCUAUUUUAAUACUGACACUGAGGCACAAAAGCAUAGGGAUCAAACA
rnacentral:rRNA from 1 species